rnacentral:ncRNA from 1 species
GCAGAGUAGGACGCCGCGCGUCAAGUGCCGCUGUGACGGGGAGUUGCACAGCGGACGAAAAGCCGGAAAGGCUUGCGGUGCGCCGUCCGCAUCCCGCUGC